UGUUUAUUCCUCUUUGGUGUCAUGUCAUGUGAAGUUCUGGCAAUACCUUGAUUACACCUAAAAUGCGCAAGAUUUGCUGAUGGCUGUUUUGGGAGCUGAGCACUGGUCUCAGACUUUCCUCGAGGCGUCAAAGCUCCUUCCUGAAUCAUCGACUUCAACCCACAGCCUUGACUUCAUGGCUCCCGCUCCAAAGAAGCAAACAGCAGAGGGCAACAGGAGAAUUGAUUAGAAACGCC